UGCCAGCCGCCGCGGUAAUACGGAGGGGGCAAGCGUUGUUCGGAAUUACUGGGCGUAAAGGGUGCGCAGGCGGCGUCGUUAGUCAGAUGUGAAAUCCCCGAGCUUAACUUGGGAACUGCAUUUGAUACUACGAUGCUAGAGUUCGGGAGAGGGUAGUGGAAUUCCCAGUGUAGAGGUGAAAUUCGUAGAUAUUGGGAAGAACACCAGUGGCGAAGGCGGCUACCUGGACCGAUACUGACGCUGAGGCACGAAAGCGUGGGGAGCAAACAGGAUUAGAUA
rnacentral:rRNA from 1 species